rnacentral:tRNA from 1 species
AGUAUUACGCCGGAUGAACGGGAAUCAUUGAUGUUGAUUAAUAUGUGGAACACUCUUCUAAUACUA